UCAGACAUGUUACCAUUGUUCUGC
rnacentral:siRNA from 1 species